rnacentral:rRNA from 1 species
UACAGAGGUCUCAAGCGUUGUUCGGAUUCAUUGGGCGUAAAGGGUGCGUAGGUGGUGCCGUAAGUUGGAUGUGAAAUCCCGGAGCUUAACUCCGGAACUGCAUUCAAUACUGCGGUGCUUGAGUACUGGAGAGGAGAUCGGAAUUCACGGUGUAGCAGUGAAAUGCGUAGAUAUCGUGAGGAAGACCAGUGGCGAAGGCGGAUCUCUGGACAGUUACUGACACUGAGGCACGAAGGCCAGGGGAG